AUGUAUAUUAUCUCAAUAAUGAUAAAGGAUUCUCAAUUUCUUUUUAGACAGGGAGAUUUGAAGAAGAAGAAGAAGAAAAAGAAAGGAAAACUGCCUAAGAAUUAUGACCCAAAAGUUACCCCAGAUCCAGAAAGAUGGCUACCAAUGCGAGAGCGCUCUUACUACCGAGGAAGAAAGAAGGGCAAAAAGAAGGACCAGAUCGGAAAAGGAACACAGGGAGCGACCGCAGGAGCCUCCUCUGAGCUGUAAGUUGUGGUCUCAGCAUGCAGUUCAUCUGGAGGCUGACUCAGUGACACCUCCCUGAUGUGCUGUGUGAGAAACAGUCCUCCUUCCUGGACAAGGAUUGCAGCAUGUGAAAGGAAGCAAGCACAGAUUUUAUUGCAAGCACUAAAACUAUGUGAUUAUAGUGUUAAAAAGUAUUGUAGACGCUAUGGGAAUGACCCAGCAAAGGAACUCUUGCCCUGGGUUUAAUUGCUAGUCAGACAAGCCAUGAAACAGCCUGACAAGUAAUUGUAUUUAGUUUAGAAACUAAAGAUAAUGUCUCAUUUAAAUGUACAUUUAAUUUAAUUUAAAUGUGAAUUAUUUCUAUAUGGAAUUAUAAGUCACUUAAAACUGAUUUUCUAAACUUAAAACAUUUGGCAUGUAG
rnacentral:lncRNA from 14 species